AACAACAAAAUCUUGAACCUUACUAGGGCUAUACAGGCCACUAACAGAGUCAACUACCCACCAAAUACAAAAGGAAAAAAGGCUGCCUAAGUAUGAUUCCCAAUCAGAGACAACGAUAGACAGCUGUCCCUGAUUGAGAACCAUACCCGACCAAAACAUAGAAACACAGAACAUAGAGUUUCCCACCCGAGUCACACCCUGACCAACCAAACAGAGAAUAAAACGAUCUCUACGGUCAGGGCGUGACAAUAUCAGACUGUUACAACACUCUGCAACAAAACCUUGAAGGUCCCUUACAUUUCCCUUAGUAUUUCCCAAUUCUGUCUUUGUCAUCAAAUACAAAGUAACAGUGUUAGUAAUGAUGACUGUGGUUGUCUUUCCAGGAGCUGAGUGGCCAUCUUGCUGCAGAGAUCACCAGACUUUGCUCUCUGGCCAAGCAGGACACCUUCCCUCUUAGUCAGGAGAGAGAUGUGUAUGAGCUGGAGAUCUCCCUGCGUGUGAAGGAGUCAGAGGCGCAGUGUCUCAAGCAGAAGAUCACCUCGCUCAAGGAUGAACUCCAGACAGCCCACAGGGAUAAGAGGUAUGCAACAGAGACGUACAAGGACAUCUACACAGAGCUAAGCAUCAUGAGGGCCAAGGCAGAGAGAGACCUGGGACAUCUCAGGGAGAACCUGAGGUUGGCCCACAAAGCACUAGGAGAGCUCUCACCUGCAGUGGACACAGAUAAUAAUGGUAUACAUGACAUUAAGCUGGUGGCCCUGCCUACAGGGAUUCAGAGAUGAACCACUGAUGUGAAAACGACAAUGUGUUGAGUGCUGCCACUCUGAGGCCAAAACCUGCAUGACAGCCAAGUCUCGCUGGAUGUUUCCCCAACCACCUCUGGUUUUGGCAGCAUCACUAGUCUGUAUCGUACAGAUGUCAUUCAUUGCGUAAUACAGACAAUUUGUGAAUAACCUCAUUAUGUUAUGCAUCUUAAUAAUAUUGGAUGUAUCUGAAUCCUCUGACUGUUAUCUGUGCAGUUUGCUGUAGCAUGUCAGUUAGUCCUUUAGAUUUUGAAUAACGUUCUUGACGUUCUGUCCAUUUCUUACACAAAUGAAAGAAAGAGACUCUAAUUAGAAGUCAUCUUGUACAGUGGUGCAGCCUAACCCUAUAGAGAUCUCCUUUGGGUACACAUUUAAAAAAUAGAUAUAUAUUUUUAUUUAUUUCACCUUUAUUUAACCAGGUAGGCAAUUUGAGGCCAAGAUAAAGCAAAGCAGUUUGACACAUAACAACACAGAGUUACACA